rnacentral:rRNA from 1 species
UACGGAGGGAGCUAGCGUUAUUCGGAAUUACUGGGCGGAAAGCGUACGUAGGCGGCUUUGUAAGUUAGAGGUGAAAGCCUGGAGCUCAACUCCAGAACUGCCUUUAAAACUGCAUCGCUUGAAUCCAGGAGAGGUGAGUGGAAUUCCGAGUGUAGAGGUGAAAUUCGUAGAUAUUCGGAAGAACACCAGUGGCGAAGGCGGCUCACUGGACUGGUAUUGACGCUGAGGUACGAAAGCGUGGGGAGCAAACAGG